rnacentral:tRNA from 2 species
CGGGCUAUAGCGCAGUUUGGUAGCGCGCCUGCUUUGGGAGCAGGAUGUUCCCAAAGCGUUGCGCUUGCGACACCCGAUAAGCCCUA